rnacentral:rRNA from 1 species
AACGAACGCUGGCGGCAUGCCUAACACAUGCAAGUCGAACGAGACCUUCGGGUCUAGUGGCGCAAGGGUGCGUAACGCGGGGGAACCUGCCCUUCGGUCAGGAAUAACUCCCCGAAAGGGGUGCUAAUACCGGAUAAUUUCUUCCGACCAAAGAUUUAUUACUAUUGGAUGGGCGCGCGUUGGUUUAGCUAGUUGGUAGGGUAAAAGCCUACCAAGGAGACGAUCCAUAGCUGGUCUGAGAGGAGGAUCAGCCACACUGGGACUGAGAACCGCCCCAGACUCCUACGGGAGGCAGAAGUGGGGAAUAUUGGACAAGGGGCGAAAGCCUGAUCCAGCAAUGCCGAGUGGGUGAUGAAGGCCAUAGGGUUGUAAAGCUCUUUUAUCCGGGAUGAUAAUGACAGUACCGGGAGAAUAAGCCCCGGCUAACUCCGUG